rnacentral:rRNA from 1 species
CCCUUAGAUGUUCGGGGCCGCACGCGCGCUACACUGAAGGAAUCAGCACGUCUUUCUCCUUGUCCGAAAGGACUGGGUAACCCGCUGAACCUCCUUCGUGCUAGGGAUUGGGGCUUGUAAUUCUUCCCCAUGAACGAGGAAUUCCCAGUAAGCGCGAGUCAUAAGCUCGCGUUGAUUACGUCCCUGCCCUUUGUACACACCGCCCGUCGCUACUACCGAUUGGAUGGUUUAGUGAGAUCCUCGGAUUGGUCCCGGCGCGGCCUCUGGUCGUGCCGGAGUGCCGAAAAGAAUGUCGAACCUGAUCAUCUAGAGGAAGUAAAAGUCGUAACA